rnacentral:rRNA from 1 species
ACGUAGGGGGCAAGCGUUAUCCGGAAUUAUUGGGCGUAAAGAGUGCGUAGGUGGUUUUUUAAGCGUGAGGUGAAAGGCAAUAGCUUAACUAUUGUAAGCCUUGCGAACUGGAAGACUUGAGUGCAGGAGAGGAAAGUGGAAUUCCUAGUGGAGCGUUGGAUUGCGUAGAUAUGAGAAGGAGGACCAGAGGCGAAGGCGACUUUCUGGACUGUAACUGCCUCUGAUGCGCGAAAGUGUGGGGAGCAAGCAG